rfam:Brachybacterium sp. SW0106-09 DNA, contig: CTG004, whole genome shotgun sequence.
GGCUUUCUUCGCGGCGGAGCUCGACCGCCCACAGCGUUGAUCGUGGAGUACAUCGACCAGUACAGGCAUGAGUUCGGCGUUGAGCCGAUCUGUCGAACGCUGACCGCAGCGGGCACGCAGAUCGCGCCG